rnacentral:rRNA from 1 species
UCCUACGGGGAGCAGCAGUAGGGAAUCUUCCACAAUGGACGAAAGUCUGAUGGAGCAACGCCGCGUGAGUGAUGAAGGUUUUCGGAUCGUAAAACUCUGUUGUAAGGGAAGAACACGUACGAGAGGGAAUGCUCGUACCUUGACGGUACCUUACGAGAAAGCCACGGCUAACUACGUGCCAGCAGCCGCGGUAAUACGUAGGUGGCAAGCGUUGUCCGGAAUUAUUGGGCGUAAAGCGCGCGCAGGCGGCCUUUUAAGUUUGAUGUGAAAGCCCCCGGCUCAACCGGGGAGGGCCAUUGGAAACUGGAAGGCUUGAGUACAGAAGAGAAGAGUGGAAUUCCACGUGUAGCGGUGAAAUGCGUAGAGAUGUGGAGGAACACCAGUGGCGAAGGCGACUCUUUGGUCUGUAACUGACGCUGAGGCGCGAAAGCGUGGGGAGCAAACAGGAUUAGAUACCCUGGUAGUCCACGCCGUAAACGAUGAGUGCUAGGUGUUGGGGGGUUUCCGCCCCUCAGUGCUGAAGCUAACGCAUUAAGCACUCCGCCUGGAGACGAGGAACGUA